GGACGUCUUUCAUGCAUAUGCGGAAUAUGCCUGUACCCCAGACGGAUGACUAUACAGUAGGUUGAUUACAAGUUUGCUCUGGCCGACAUGAUGAAAUAUUAAACGUCAUAAGCAUGAGGGGAAAGGUCUGAAGAAACAGAGGAAAUAAUACAGAUAUGAGAUCGACACACACCUGAUUGUGAGUGCUGGAGAUCCCGCAGAGGAAGACGAGGUCUGCGAUGAAGAGGCAGACGCUCAGAUGGAGG